rnacentral:rRNA from 1 species
GGCCGGGCUGGGCGGUCCCGCCGAAAGGUGGGCACUGUCUGGUCUGGCCUCUCCUUCUGGAGAACCGACGUGCUCUUAACUGGGUGCGUCGGGGAUCCAGGACUUUUACUUUGAAAAAAUUAGAGUGUUCAAAGCAGGCUUACGCUUGAAUAUAUUAGCAUGGAAUAAUAGAAUAGGACUUUGGUACUAUUUUGUUGGUUUCUAGGACCGAAGUA